CAGCAGCCACUAAACUGGAGAGUAGCUGCCAGGAAAGCACUGGUGAAAGAUGUUCGACAAUUGUCACCUCAGCAUCAGACAUUCUCCCCGGAGGCCUACCAUUCCCUCAUUCUGCACUUUGCUCCCAAACACACUGGUUUCUCUUUUCUUGGGAUGUACAGCAGACUUCUCUUGGCGGCUCUACAUUUCAACAGUAAUGGCAGAGAUGUAGCUCGAACCAGUGAGGGUGAGGUAUGCUACGCCAUUUGCUACCCGCGGUUUCGGAAAGGUGGCUGGGUAGUCCGCCCUAUCAAGGAGAAACCAUCUUACGGAUACGCAACAAAUCUGAUGGUCUCUCUGGUAGAGGAAUACUCUAGAUCACCACAGGGCCUACAAGGAAGCAGUGCUGUCUUGUCUUGUGCUGCCCCGCCCCCCCUCACAGGAUGAGGCACUCAGCCUCCAUCUCUCGCACGACACUUGCGUUUUAACAUGUAAUAAAACAUACGUGAAAAAUUGUGAGAAAACACGUAUCGGUACUCUUUAGUUAGUUUAUUAUCCUAAAAAAUAGGCUAACCCUAAUAAAAAAUAAGAAUGCACAAUGGCA